rnacentral:rRNA from 1 species
GUGACCCCAGGAUGGGCGAGGCCACCCGCCGAGUUUAAGCAUAU